GAUGAAGAACGCAGCGAAAUGCGAUAGGUAAUGUGAAUUGCAGAAUUCAGUGAAUCAUCGAGUCUUUGAACGCACAUUGCGCCCCCUGGUAUUCCGGGGGGCAUGCCUGUCCGAGCGUCAUUGCUGCCCUCAAGCACGGCUUGUGUGUUGGGCCUCCGUCCUCCUCCCGGGGGACGGGCCCGAAAGGCAGCGGCGGCACCGCGUCCGGUCCUCGAGCGUAUGGGGCUUCGUCACCCGCUCUUGUAGGCCCGGCCGGCGCUUGCCGACACAUCAAUCUUUUUUCCAGGUUGACCUCGGAUCAGGUAGGGAUACCCGCUGAACUUAAGCAUAUCAAUAAGCGGAGGA
rnacentral:misc_RNA from 1 species